UAUCUCUGUAGAGUCUGCAUAUCAAUAAGCGGAGGAAAAGAAACUAACAAGGAUUCCCUUAGUAACGGCGAGUGAAGCGGGAAGAGCUCAAAUUUGAAAUCUUCAAGGUUCUACCUUGACGAAUUGUAGUUUAUAAGAAGUGUUUUCUGUUAGAUGAGUAGCAAAAGUUCCUUUGGAAUAGGACAUCAUAGAGGGUGAGAAUCCCGUAUUUGGUCAUUCCUCCUAGCUUUGUGAUACACUUUCAACGAGUCGGAUUGUUUGGGAAUGCAGUCCAAAAUGGGUGGUAAAUUUCAUCUAAAGCUAAAUAUUGGCGAGAGACCGAUAGCGAACAAGUACCGUGAGGGAAAGAUGAAAAGAACUUUGAAAAGAGAGUUAAACAGUACGUGAAAUUGUCAAAAGGGAAGCGUUUGACACCAGUGUUGUUUUUCCGAAAAUCAAUUACGAAUGGCUUGAUUUUGUGUUGUAUUGACCUUAUCAGCUUUCUGCACUUUUUUCGAGUCUUUCUUAAUGCACUUUUCGGUUAACAAGUCAACAUCAAUUUCUUUUGUUGUAAAAGAGUAUUCGGAAGGUGGCUUUCUUUUCGGAGAAAGUGUUUAUAGCCCUAUACUUCUACAAUCGGAGAGAUUGAGGUCUGCAGCGUAGAUCCUUCGGGGUUAGAUACACUUGUGCUAAGUUGUAGCUUUUCAUAGACAACUUGUUGACUAUGUUUAGUCAUGCGGCUUACUCGCUUGUGCUAUUUUACCUACGCUUAGGAUGUUGACUGAUAUGUAGUCGU
rnacentral:rRNA from 1 species